UUCCAUUAAAAGAGGGGAAAAAAAGAAGGGCCAUCAUAUUUCCCUUGUGUCAGACAAGUUGGUUUCUCAUAUUUGUUAAAUAUCAAAGCAAAUAUUUUUUUUCCUUAUAAUUGGUGGGAGGAACAAAAGAAGAUUUGAAGUUCUGAAGAAUUCUAAGAAAACAUGAAGACAAUAGACAUGAAGAAGAAAGAGAAGGAAAUAAUAUCUUUUUUGAUUUAGGAACUCAACUUUCUGAUAAAUACUUAUUUGAAGAUUUUGUUGGUAAAAUAUCUUGUACAGAUCAUUUUUCUUAUCCAGAUUUCUUGUUCUCGAGGAUUUAAUUUCUCUGACAUUCUAGGGCCGGACUGUUGCAUCCAUGUCCAUGCAAAACUGGCCAUAAGAUGGCACGAUACAAAAGGAGAGAAAAGGAGCUUGCUUAUAGAGACACUUCAAACUCAUCUUUCACUUCUAGAUACCCAAUCCAAUAACCUACUACAGACAACUACAUGAUCUAGUUCUCAAAUAAGCUCUUUAC
rnacentral:lncRNA from 1 species